rnacentral:rRNA from 1 species
UCCAUGAAGCUGGAUUCGCUAGUAAUCGCGCAUCAGCCACGGCGCGGUGAAUACGUUCCCGGGCCUUGUACACACCGCCCGUCAAGCCAUGGAAGCCGGGAGUGCCUGAAGUGCGUGAGCGCAAGCAGCGCCCUAAGGUAAAACCGGUGACUGGGGCUAAGUCGUAACAAGGUACC